AAUGAACGCUGGCGGCGUGCCUAACACAUGCAAGUCGAACGAGAAACUCCGGGCUUGCUCGGAGGAGUAAAGUGGCGCACGGGUGAGUAACGCGUGGGUAACCUGCCCCAGAACCUGGGAUAACAUCGCGAAAGCGUUGCUAAUACCGGAUAUUGUCCCUUAAACUGUGGUUUUAGGGAUGAAAGAUGACCUCUCCGUGGAAGUUGUCGUUCAGGGAGGGGCCCGCGUACCAUUAGCUUGUUGGUGGGGUAAUGGCCUACCAAGGCUACGAUGGUUAGCUGGUCUGAGAGGAUGAUCAGCCACACUGGAACUGAAACACGGUCCAGACUCCUACGGGAGGCAGCAGUGAGGAAUUUUGCGCAAUGGGGGAAACCCUGACGCAGCAACGCCGUGUGAGUGAAGAAGGCCUUCGGGUCGUAAAGCUCUGUCAAGGGGGAAAAAAUCCUUUCGAUUAAUAGUCAGUAAGGACUGAUGGUACCCCUAGAGGAAGCACCGGCUAACUCCGUG
rnacentral:rRNA from 1 species